rnacentral:rRNA from 1 species
UGGGGAAUAUUGGACAAUGGGCGAAAGCCUGAUCCAGCCAUGCCGCGUGUGUGAAGAAGGUCUUCGGAUUGUAAAGCACUUUAAGUUGGGAGGAAGGGCAUUAACCUAAUACGUUAGUGUUUUGACGUUACCGACAGAAUAAGCACCGGCUAACUCUGUGCCAGCAGCCGCGGUAAUACAGAGGGUGCAAGCGUUAAUCGGAAUUACUGGGCGUAAAGCGCGCGUAGGUGGUUUGUUAAGUUGGAUGUGAAAGCCGCGGGCUCAACCUGGGAACUGCAUCCAAAACUGGCAAGCUAGAGUACGGUAGAGGGUGGUGGAAUUUCCUGUGUAGCGGUGAAAUGCGUAGAUAUAGGAAGGAACACCAGUGGCGAAGGCGACCACCUGGACUGAUACUGACACUGAGGUGCGAAAGCGUGGGGAGCAAACA